rnacentral:rRNA from 1 species
UACGUAGGGGGCAAGCGUUAUCCGGAUUUACUGGGCGUAAAGAGCGCGUAGGCGGUUCCGUAAGUUGGUUGUGAAAGUUCGAGGCUCAACCUCGAAACUGCGUCCAAUACUGCGGGGCUGGAGUGCAAGAGAGGCAAGUGGAAUUUGCGGUGUAGUAGUGAAAUGCGUAGAUAUCGCAAGGAACACCAGUGGCGAAGGCGGCUUGCUAGCUUGUAACUGACGCUGAGGCGCGAAAGCUAGGGGAGCGAACGG